GGAAAAAGAACAGAAAAGGAACAGAAGCAGAAGUAGUGAGAACACGGGGAACAAAGAAAAGCAGAGAGGAGAGCAGAGGCAGAAGGAAUAGGAGAGAGGAGACUGAAGAAAAGAGGAGAAAAGCUGCACAGAUGCAGAAGAAAAAGGAGCGUAGAUACAGGGAAGAAGUGAAAGCAGACGAGGAAUACGGAUGCAGAAGAAAGAGGAGUGAGGAAAUAGAAAAAAAGCAGGAGUGCAGAUGGAGAAGAAAGGAGUGAGGAUACAGAAAAAAGAGAACUGAAGACACAGGGAUGAUAUAACAGCAGAUGAGAAGUGCAGAUGCAAUAGAAAGAGGAGUGAGUAAGCAGGGAAAAAGAACAGGGGAAGAAGAGCGUGAAAGCAGAGGAAGGAACAGUGAGGAUACAGGGAAGAAUGAAGAGUGGAAAAGGAGUUCAGAUGCAGAAGAAAGAGGAGUGAGGAAGCAGGAAAGAAAGGAAAGCAGAAGAGGGCAGAUGCAGAAUAAAGAGGAGAGAGGAGACGGAAUAAAGAUCAGAAAAGGGGGGGGGGAAUGCAGAAGAAAGAAGUGAGGAUAGAGUGAAGAAAGAGCAGAAGAAGAAAGCAGAUGUAGAUGAAAGAGGCAAGGAGACGGAAGAAAGAACAGCACAGGAGGAGAGCAGAAGAAUAUAAGAGGAAUGCAAGUGCACAAGAAAAAGCAGUGAGGAUACAGAAGAAAGAACAGCAGAUGUGGAGUGCGUAUGCAGAAGUGGAGUGAGGAAACAAGGAAGACAACAGCAGAAGCAGAGCAGCUGUAGAAGAAAGGAGUGAGGAUACGGGGAAGAAGGAAGAGCAGAAGAGGAAAAGACGUGGAAGAAAGGGCAGUAAGAAUACGGGGAUGAUAGGACAGUAGCACCAGUGCCCAGAUGAAGAAAAGAGAGGGAUGAUAGAACAGCAGAUGAGAAGUGCAGAUGCAGAAGGGUGAGUGAUUAUACAGAAAAGAAAGAAGAGCAGAACAGGGCAGACAAAAAAGUAGUGAGUAGACAGGGAAGAAAGAAGAGCAGAAAAGGAGUUCAGAUGCAGACAAAAGAGGAGGGAGGAAGCAGGGAAGAAAGGAAAGACGAGGAGUGCAGAUGAAGAAUAAAGAGCAGUGAGGAAAUGGAAGGAAAAAGCAGCAGAAGAGGAGUGCAAAUGCAGAAAAAGGAGCAGGGAGGAAGCAUGGAAAAAAGAACAGAAGAGUGCAGAGGCUAUGACCUAGUUGCCAUUACAGAAACAUGGUGGGACCACUGCCAUGAGUGGAGUGCUGCAAUGGAUGGCUACAAACUCUUCAGGAAGGAUAGGCAAGGAAGGAGGGGCGGUGGCGUGGCUCUCUAUGUUAAAGAGUGCUUUGAGGUUACUGAACUUAUGACUGGGGAUAAUAAGGUUGAAUCCUUAUGGAUUAAGAUCAGGGGAAGAGCCGACAAGGCAGACAUCCUGGUGGGCAUCUGUUACAGACCGCCAAACCAGGAUGAAGAGACAGAUGAGUUGUUGUAUGAGCAGCUGGCGGAAGCUGCGCGAUCGCCGGCCCUUGUCCUCAUGGGGGACUUCAACUUCCCCGACAUAUGCUGGGAAUACAAUUUAGCACAGAAGAAGCAGUCUAGGAGGUUUCUGGAAUGUAUGGAGGACAACUUCUUGAUGCAGAUGAUAAGAGAAGCUAUGAGAGGAGCUGCCCCGUUAGACCUGCUGUUCACAAACAGAAAAGGUCUGGUGGGAGAUGUAGAAGUUGGGGGCUGUCUUGGGCAGAGUGACCACGACAUGGUAGAGUUCUCGAUUGUUGCUGGAGUCAGGAGGGGGAACAGCAAAACUGCUACCUUGGACUUCCGGAGGGCAGACUUUGAAUUGUUCAGGAGACUAGUA
ensembl:lncRNA